GAUGAACGCUGGCGGCGUGCCUAAUACAUGCAAGUCGAGCGAACGGACGAGAAGCUUGCUUCUCUGAUGUUAGCGGCGGACGGGUGAGUAACACGUGGAUAACCUACCUAUAAGACUGGGAUAACUUCGGGAAACCGUAGCUAAUACCGGAUAAUAUUUUGAACCGCAUGGUUCAAAAGUGAAAGACGGUCUUGCUGUCACUUAUAGAUGGAUCCGCGCUGCAUUAGCUAGUUGGUAAGGUAACGGCUUACCAAGGCAACGAUGCAUAGCCGACCUGAGAGGUGGGUCGGCCACACUGGAACUGAGACACGGGCCAGACUCCUACGGGAGGCAGCAGUAGGGAAUCUUCCGCAAUGGGCGAAAGCCUGACAGAUCAACGCCGCGUGAGUGAUGAAGGUCUUCGGAUCGUAAAACUCUGUUAUUAGGGAAGAACAUAUGUGUAAGUAACUGUGCACAUCUUGACGGUACCUAAUCAGAAAGCCACGGCUAACUACGUG
rnacentral:rRNA from 1 species